UACGUAGGGUGCAAGCGUUGCCCGGAUUUAUUGGGCGUAAAGGGCGCGUAGGCGGCUCGGCACGUCCGUUGUGAAAUCGCCCGGCUCAACUGGGCGGGGUCAGCGGAUACGGUCGAGCUUGAGCAAGCUAGGGGGCAAUGGAAUUCCCGGUGUAGUGGUGGAAUGCGCAGAUAUCAGGAGGAACACCAAUGGCGAAGGCAGAUCUCUGGGCCGUAACUGACGCUGAGGAGCGAAAGCAUGGGGAGCGAACAGG
rnacentral:rRNA from 1 species